CAUGCAAGUCGAACGAAGUAGCAAUACUUAGUGGCAGACGGGUGAGUAACAUGUAGGUAUCUGCCCUUUGGCCUGGAAUAACACGAGGAAACUUGUGCUAAUACCGGAUAAGUCUUUACGGAGAAAGCUUUAUGCACCAUUGGAUGAGCCUGCAUUUGAUUAGUUUGUUGGUGGGGUAAUGGCCUACCAAGACUGUGAUCAAUACCUGAUUUGAGAGGAUGAUCAGCCACAUUGGGACUGAGACACGGCCCAAACUCCUACGGGAGGCAGCAGUGGGGAAUCUUGCACAAUGGAGGAAACUCUGAUGCAGCGAUGCCGCGUGAGUGAAGAAGGCCUUUGGGUUGUAAAGCUCUUUCGUCGGGGAAGAAAAUGACUGUACCCGAAUAAGAAGGUCCGGCUAACUUCGUGCCAGCAGCCGCGGUAAUACGAAGGGACCUAGCGUAGUUCGGAAUUACUGGGCUUAAAGAGUUCGUAGGUGGUUGAAAAAGUUGGUGGUGAAAUCCCAGAGCUUAACUCUGGAACUGCCAUCAAAACUUUUCAGCUAGAGUAUGAUAGAGGAAAGCAGAAUUUCUAGUGUAGAGGUGAAAUUCGUAGAUAUUAGAAAGAAUACCAAUUGCGAAGGCAGCUUUCUGGAUCAUAACUGACACUGAGGAACGGAAGCAUGGGUAGCGAAGAGGAUUAGAUACCCUCGUAGUCCAUGCCGUAAACGAUGUGUGUUAGACGUUGGAAAUUAAUUUUCAGUGUCGCAGCGAAAGCGAUAAACACACCGCCUGGGGAGUACGACCGCAAGGUUAAACUCAAAUGAAUUGACGGGGACCCGCACAGUA
rnacentral:rRNA from 1 species